rnacentral:lncRNA from 1 species
CAGAGUACAUCCCUAGUGGAGUUCCCCUUGCUGGGAGCAUUCCAGGGACGCGCAGUGAAAAGUGAGACGGAGGGGAGGCCCGGGUGUCGGGGAGGGGCUUGCAACUCGGGAAGAGCGCUUUGCACAGAUGAGCUGCACGGUGAGACCCGUGCUGGGGAAGGGGUGUCUCCUACCCGGCCGCAGACCCAGCUCUGCAGCAGCGGCAGACCCAGCACUUCGUAAAUGGCCCGAACGGAUCCAUGACCUCAGCAGGAAGGGCCGAGGUGUGGUGCGAGUCUGCAGCCUCCAGGGAGCCACACGGGCUGCCAGACUCGGGGUGCAGGUGAUCCUCAAGGCAGCAACUCCCCAGCUGGAACAACCACACUCCCGGGGCACUCCACGGCGGGGCCUGGUAGAAACCUGGCCUGUGGCCGGAGGGGUAAGUGGCCAGGGUGCCCGACUGCUUCCUCCGCCCGAGCUGGCUCAGACAACCAUGAGGGCGUGCAAGGCUCCGGGGUCCCAGGCGCUGAGUUUCCCUACCCUGCCCCCACGUUUCCAAGGAUCUGCUUCUGCUAUUGAAUUCCUGUGCUGUGCCAGGCAUCGGGGAUCGAGGACGUACCCAAGACCCCGCGCUUGCUCACUGGUGGUCCUCAGUCUGGUAGGAUUGGGUAAGCAGCCCACGGGAGCUCUGCCCCUUCUUAGGUGCCCCCCACCCUGGUUCACCACGCUUCUGUGUGACAUCUGAGGGAACACGCCACUUGGGUCUUGGGACUUCCUAUUCCCACCCCACCCCUUCAUCUCUGCAACCCCUUGUCCCCUUCCUAAGGGCAGGGGUGGGAGGAGCCAUGGGGCCUGGAUGCUUCCUUCUGUUCCCACUGGAACUCACCACUCCAGUAGCAUGACUUUGUUCUCAAUCUCACCCAGGAAUGAGACAAGGGGCCAGCAUUGUGGCGUAAUGGGUAAGCCAGCUCCUGCAACGUUGGUAUCCCCUAUAGGUGCCACUCAGAGCCCCUGCUGCUCCACUUCCAAUCCAGCUCCCUGCUGAUGUGCCUGGGAAAUCAAUGGAAGAUGGCCCAAGUCCUUGGGUCCCUGUACCCCAGAUGAAGGUCUCAACUCCUGACUUCGGCCUGGCCUAGCCUUGGGCCAUUGUGGCCAUUGUGGGAGAGUGGAUCAAUGGAAGGAAGACCUCUCUCUCUCCCUCUCUGUACUCUGCCUUUCAUAUAAAUAAAAUAAAACUUAAAAAAAGAGAACGAGGCA